ensembl:lncRNA
AGCUGUGUCUGUGUGAGCUCACUGGGCUCUGACAGCAGGGAUCAAAACAACAUGUGAACCAGCCACGACACGGACCACCAUCAAAACAAGCGAGCACCCACGACAAGUCUCCCAUAGCUACAUCACAAGAGAAGCUGUGAUGUACCAUGGGUAGCUGACCAAGGAAAGACACCCCACCUUGCAAUGUGCUGCUUUAGCUUCCCAGCAUAAGAAAAACUCCAGCAAAGGAAAACAAACGAAGCAGAGAAGACAAACGGAACGAGUGCGGUUUCAAAUCCCUCCGUCAAAUGUGACCUGCUAGAAACUUUGAAACAAACAGAUGUACACACUCCUCAUCCCUCAAGCAGUUCCUCUGUAGCAGCAGUAUGUCUGUCAGUUCUUUCAUCAUGUUAUGAAAUAAGAAGAGAGCACAAGAGGAACCUGUUGCUGGGCUAUAAGACCAAAGCAGCCCAGAGAAAAAAUGGUAAUGCAAGCAAGAGCGGCGGCAGGGGUCUGCCGGGGUGUAACCAUAGCUGCUAAACUCGCAUUCAGGCCUUUUCCAGAGCAGGGCUCAGAGUAUGCAGACGACCUAGGGGCUAGAGACUUAGGGAGGACUUUAAGCUUCUUUGUCAAGCUCCUCGGAGCUCAGUCGACUGCUGUGAAGAGGCCGAAGCAUGCAGCUGUCUAGCAACAAGAAACCCCUCAUACCACAGAUACUGGCCUGUGGUUAAGGAGUGUGAGUAUGAAAGUGUACGUGGUUCAUAUUGUGUGACUCAACAUGUGGGUCUGAAUUUGUGAAAGUGCACCGCUGAUGAGUAUCACACCAGGUGAGACAUGUGUUUGGAAGGCUUAUAACAUGCUUUUAAUAUUUAGAUUUAAGACUUUAUAACACAAGUGUAACACCAAAUAUACCGUUUGUCUGUGAAAACAUGCAACUGUAAAGAAUUGCUUUACAUUUUAUAAACACACCACAUCUCCAUUUGUGUCAUUAAAACUACGCUUAACGUGUAAGUAAUGAAUCAAACACCUAUUCAAAGAAAGACACCCAGUUAAACUGUCUAACUCAGACUACUAAUCCCUGAUUUAGAGAGGUAGGUACACUUAAGGACUUAAGCAAUUUCACAUGGAAUAAGGAUGGUGGAUUCUGUCUUCUGUCACAACGCUUAAAUUGCCUUUAAAGUGGGAUUUCCGUAUGGCUGCUACAGGCGAAAGGGAUGACAACAGCCAGCAAUAACUCUUUCAGUGUCCAUGUAGGCAUGUAUUAGUUUUAUUUUGAUAUGAAAAACAGUGAAACUAAUUGAUCAUGAGCCUUCUUUUCUGGCAAUUGUAACGGCCAAUAUAUUAUAAAAUUGUAGAGGCAGUAUAGCAGUGACAGUGAUUUAUCAGUAUAUGAGGUUUCUUAUAGGCCUCAUCUACAUAAAGUACGGUCCUUACAACGAACACAUCAAUAUGCAUGACUCAUUCUCGAGUCUUGUGACAUGUGGCGCAGACAGAGCCACAGACAUUGGACAACACAGUAAACCUAAGCGCUGUCUUUCCAUGACAGUAUUAUCAGUGAAACUAACACCCUCUUUGGAAUGCCACAAACCUGCCUGGAGACAUGGAGCAGCUAGUUUUAUGAAGCCCAUCCCUGCACUGCCCCAAAUGAGCCAUGGUGAAUUCUCCACCGCCAGUCAAUCCCUGGGGAGGCAGUCAAGAAAACCCUAUUAUAUUUGGGGGCAGGCACCGCUCAAACUGACAGCAACUGCUGCGACAGCAAAGCUCGCGGAAAGAGGGAGAGAGAGGGAGGUAUGUUCACCAUCUCUACGUGACAACAGGCUAAAUUGCUCACAAGUUGGUCUCAUUUGCUUUGCAUGGCGAUUGUGCACAAAGAACGAUGCACUUUGCAGUUAAAGAUGAACAAACCUUCUGAAUUAUGCUAACAGCCCCGAGUGCUCGGGCUCCCUCGUCUUACAAGUGCUUCAUCAGUUUCACACAAAACCCAAAGUAAAAAUCGAACCAUAAAUACAAAUUAAGCUUUGCGCUUAAAAACAGCUGCUGAAUUUAUUUGAGUGCUAUAUGAUUAGCUAACUAAAAAAAGCUACCUUCAUUAAGUUGCACUUUUCCAGAUGUCUCUCUACGCUCAAACCAUUGGGCUCCCCAUUGUAUGCGUCUGCAAUUUAAGAUCAGUUAUUAAUUUUAUAGUCCACUUAAAAUAGCCGCACCUGUAAUUAGAAUCUUAAAUUGCUAAACGGUGCACACGCAUGUGUGCGUGCAUGCACACACACACAGAAAACCACAAACUCGUCAUGGAAUAUAACCAAAGCAGGGAAAUUACCGCAGCGCGUACGUCUGGAAGUCCCUUCUCUGUGAAAUGCGUAUGAAACAUUAAAGCAACAGCAAAAAAAAGUAGCAUGAACAGAGUGGAAGCUUGGGAGGACGCGAGUCCACAAGUGCUGGUUUCAAUCUGAGGGAUAACAUGGAAAAGGUCAAGUCUGAGUCGGCAGAUCACACAUAAUCACCUCCCACACAAUGCUGCUGCCCUAUUCCACAGAAGCCUCCUGAUGAGAAGAGUAGAUAGACAGACAGGAAGAGGCUGACAGAUAUAGGGCAGUGGAGGGAGAGAGAGAGAAGGAAGGAGAGGAAGAAAGGCCCGAAUAAGAGGAGAAUGAGGCAUUAUCAUUCCGAGCAUCAACCCAAUAGCAGAUGGGCAGCUUGUCUGUCUUGGGCUGUGAAGGAGUGGCGUGUGACCCUGUUCACCCCAGGCCUAAUGAAAGAUUGACUGACUGACUCACCUCACUAUGCCAGCGUGUAUGUAUGCUCGACCAAAUAUUAUUGGAUGCAGGGCCUGGAAAUGAUCUAGGAGCUUAGAGAGGGAGGAAAAGACGAACAUUGCAGAACAGUGAUUGAAGGCAGGGCCACAAAGUGAACUAAUCUGAAAAUGAACAGUGGUUCUGUGUUACGGGCAGACCACAGCGCAGUGAACUGAAAAUAAGUGCGGUCGUGCCAUGCUUUGACAUGCAACUGAACACAAGGCUGUGGAGUGAUGCUGAAGCUUAUUUCAAAUCACAGUCUGUGAUUUAAAAACUACAGAAAGGGGAAAAAAGAGUACUUGGAGCAAAACUGGAAUUGCACAAGUUAUUAUACUGUGUUUAGAAUUACACAAAAAAAACAUAUAUUGCAAGUAAUUCUUUCUGUGACUAUGAUUGAAUGGAAAAUCAGAACUGUGCACUCUCUCAAGCCCAAACCAAGUGUAUACUGAGCAACCUUGGUUAUGUAAAAAUCAUCUGUACAUGCAACAAAGUUUGAAUGGCUAAUGCUUGCUUUGUGCUUCUACAAGUAUCACACAAUUAAUGUUAUCCUGGAGGUCAAACAGGAAAGAUAAGUGGCUAACCUCAACUGAAUGCAAAUAGCCCACAUGCAUACGAGGUGAGCUACUGACAGGAAAGGACUCAUUUAAGUGCCUUAUGAAAGGAACAUUUCUAGAGAGAAAGGUGCAAAAACACAAUUGUUCAGUGUAGUAAUUAAUUGUUACUCCCACGGUCUCUGGUUCUAUAUUCUUUAUCACAACAGCAUAAAAAGACAGCAUUACUGUAAUAAUUCAGGUUUUAAAUAAUGUUCACUGAAUGAAUUAGGUUCUCCAAAUCAGGUGUGUGCAGCUUAAAUCAUGUCAAAAUUAAUAAUGAAUUCCCACAGACAUUAAGACCGGUGACUCUUUUUGGCAUAUCCAAUUAGUUCUUCAGUGUCGUCUGGGUGCCUUUACAGUGUCAAUCAGCAGGCAGUAAACAUUGUCUUUCAGCAGCAGUCUACCUCAGGGGCACUGCCUUUAAACAACAAAGUCAGCUCUUUGAUACCUCCCCUUCUCACCUUUCAGCACAGCCAUCCCCAGACGUAAAAGCACACCUUCCCAUAAAACACCGCCACAAAACACUAAUACACCCUCUUUUUCGACUUUACAGCCUCUCGUCACACAAUUACCCAUGAUCACACAAUCAGCAUUUCGUUUUACGACUCAGACCUGAGCUGAGUGUAUGUAUUUUGAGAGAGCGCGAGCAAGUGAGUGAGGGUCCGGAUGGGGUUUGUGCAGGGGGAAAAAAAAAAAGAAGGCAUAUUUAUAUACAGACGGACAAGCUCACAUAGAUGCAGACAGGGAGCUGAGCAGACACAUGCACCCAAGCACACACAAACGGAUCUUCCCCUCUGCCUGCUGUCUCUCUCUGUGGCCUUUCUCUCCUUGCCCUUAGCUGUUUCCCAGAUUCCAGAUGACGUCCUGACAGGAGGGCUGAGUGACUGGAGGUGAGGCUGUGUGAUGACAGACCAGGGCCUUUAUCAGUGACCAGCACACUGCCGGCUUGCUGUUUGAAGAUUAACUGGCAGAUUGAAACCCAAAACUGCUCUCAUUCCUGCUUGACUCCCUGCCUCUUUACAUAUUUUCCCUUUUUUUUCUCUCUUUUCUUUUUUUCUUCCUUUUAACCCCUAGCUCACUGGCUGUAGGAACUCACUGGGUUUAAUGUAAUUGGCCUAUUUCCUGCAUAUGAAGUUCCCGGUUUGUUGUAAUUGACUUGGUCUUUUAUUGGCUGUGAGACAGGUUAAAUGGGAACCAAAUGGAGAGGCAACACAGGAAGCUUAGGCCCGGGCUAUCUGAUACUCAUCAAAUCAGUCAACCUGGAUGCAGAACAGCAAAGUGCUGAGAAUGUGGCCGCAGUGAUUAGCAGCUGCAUAAGGAUUAGUAAGGUAGUAACAUAUUGGCAUAUGUUAGUCAAUCUUGGCAGUGAGUGAUGUUGUUAAGACGUAGUCUGUCCCACAAUAUGGCACUAGUUUACUGUGCAGAGGAGGAUAUUUUCAGCUCUUUUUCCACGUGGAGCUAUUUAUUUCUUAUGGGCAAAGCUGAAAUCUUAUCAGCCAAGGAUGUCAAGAUCAACUUCCUUUUUUAAAAAAAAAAUAAAAUUAUUUGAUUACGUUAUUUUGUAGCCUCAGCCGACUCAGUCUCUCUGCUGUUUCCUCUCAGCGGAGAAGAGGCAUGGAGAUAACCUUAUUCAGCUUGUUUCAUCAAAACAUCUCAUGCCACAGUAAAUGACAUUCAACAAAGCUGAUCUUCUGCUCUUUGAUGUUUGCCAGAGUAAAUGGACUAUCAAUGCAAAGUAUAAACACUCCUCUAUGCUAAUGUUCCUCUGGGGGUCUUUGAUGGCACCAGUAGUAUCUGUGAAGUGUGUUUUGAAAAAUUGCAUUGGUAAGCCAUCCAAAUAGCAAGAAUUAAAGCCUUUUCACUCACGGUGCCUUUUCAGCCAAGGGCGAAAAAAAAAAAAAAAUUGUACUCUGUAGUGGGAAAAUUGGAGCACAAACAAGGUACAGAGUAAGUGACUUGUAACAGACAGUACGGGCCAACCAAACUGGCAGUGUGGCAGGGGUCCAGUUGACUGCCAGGUGACAUCAUUUGGCAUUGUUUCACCACUCCAUUUAUUUUAUUGUGCUCAUUGUCCUCCCACAUUCACUCAAUCAAGUGGGCCUUUUUGUGCUGGUUGUUUAGGUAGUCCAGGUGCACCAUGCUAGUGGAGGCUUCCUGUCUCCCCAGAAAUCUUUUCAAUACCUCUCCUGCCGCGGGUAUUGUCAUAUCCCACAGUGCAUCUGAAAAGAAGCAGCAGCCCUGCGUAAAUGUCAGAGAGGUGAUUUGUUUUUAACUCUUAGCAGUCACCAAAUGCCUUGUGUGGGAGUCUGAGUGUGGGUGCACAAGUGAAUAAACACACAGCUGUCUCUCUGGAGCAUUUCCUCACUUUGCUGCAAUGUACAGUAUUUUAUAGUAGGGUUUACAGUGUGGCGCCCCCUGUUGAUAUGGUGCUUUUUUUAAACAUAGUAUUGACAGUGUGAUUUAAAGGUGUCCUUUGACUGUAACUACUGCAUUUUAUUUUAUACACAAUGAGCCAGCUAUGAGGGUUUUUCUCUUUUUUUUUUUGAGUGUUCUUUAAAUGCCUUGUUUUUAAUACAUCAGAGAAAGAACAAGUCUGGAUUUAUCACAUAAACUGGAGGAAAGAUGCUCCGGGCUUUCAUGUGGAGGUACAGUUUAUCUAGGAAAGGCGCCAGCAAAGUUUUCUUCAGAUGUAAGUUAAUUCCACUUCUCCCUGACACCCAAAAUAACAAGGUAUUAUUCAUUUAAAAGCGAGAAAAGACACUUUUCUGAUUGGCAAAGAAAGUUGGAAAAAAAAAUCAGUUUUAAAAAGUGUGAAAAGACUCAAAAUAUAGUGACAGCUUAAUCAUCUGCUCAUUAGAUUGGCUUAGUUUUUUCACCAGUAUUUUAGGAGAUUUCACACUUUCCAGCCGGGCCUAAUGUUUUGCAGCAAAGAGAUAAUUUAUUUUAGAUCACAGAGGUGCCACCGUUUCCCUCGCUGUGUUUUUUUUAGAAGGACAGAAGGACAAUGAGAUGAACUUUUCUAAUGACUGUAGCAUGAGUGAGAAGACUAGUAGAGACCAAGCCAAGGAGGAAGCCACAUAAGUAAAGCCAUGUCAAGUUCAAUUAGACCAGCUGAAGAGUUUAGCAGGCAGAGCUGACACAGUCCAAUUUGCCCAACAUAUUCAGCCCACCUUUUCCACAUGUGCUCACUGCUCACAGCUUUCAGCACCAAGUUUGGACAAAUAUUCACACUUUCCCACAUAAACCUCUCGGGGAAAGAUGCCCCGGACUUUCAUUUGGGAGGUGCAGUUCAUCUAGGAAAGCCGUCAGCCAAGCUUCCUCCAAAUGUACGUUAAUUCCACCCCCACUCUCUACUUGACAAAGUAUUAUUCCUUAAAAAGAGGGGGGGAAAAGACACUUAUCGGUCUAUUUUUUCUCUCCCCUUUCUCCUUUUUUCAUUCACCCGCAGCCUCUUUCUGUUGUACACACACCGAAACACACAGAGCUGUACCCUGUGGUGAAUGUCUCACAUAUGCCAUCCAGUUAGCAGGAUAUUUUUGUCUGUGUGAGUGGGCAGCGGUGUCACUCAGCGAGCUUUGAGCUUAGCGGAGGGAGAACUGUGAAAGCCAGUCACUAACAAGCAGAGAGAUUCCCUCCCUGCGUCCCACAGCCAGAUGGCUAAUCUGGGCAGAAUAGGAAACAUACUUUAUAAUCAGAUUUACAGAGGUGGAAAAAAAAAAAACAUACACAAACACCAUAACAAUUCAAAUGCCUUGUGGUCACAAGCUGUCUGGAAUGAGGUGACAACGACAUAAAACAAAGUCCCUUCAAAAUGGUUUCAAUAAUUAGACGGACUGGAGUGGCUUCGGUUAGCCUAUAAAACAACUGCCGGGGCUUGAGGCUGGUCCUGCAAAUUGGAAUCACUUGUGUCUCUGCGUUUGUGUCAGGUCAGCAUUAAGUGGAUGACAGCUGAAGAAAAAGAGCUAUUUAUUUAUUUGUUUUCUCCUUUAAGGAACGGGGCAGUAUCCAAGUCUCUUUUCAACCACUAAAAAAUACCAAUAAUAUAUACAUAUAAAACACUCUCCUUCUGUCUACCUCUGCCUGUGGCCUGAAUGAUGACAGGCAUGAUUCCUGCUGGUGCCCUGCCAGUGCAUUGCCCAAGGAUGCCCACGGGUGUUUGAGGCAGCGUAUCCAUUAGCUACCUGUGUAGACUGCUCCUCUGGGAUAUUCAGAGACUGAUGUCUGCUUUCCUUCUAUUGUUGAGACUCCUGAGCCACACAGACCAACACACGUGCACCUGAAGCCAACCAUCUGGCCAAGACGUGAGGACCAUGCUGCUGCAGCCUCCGAUGAGCUGACCACUUACUCCUCUUCCUGUCACUCAGCCUCAUCAGCUGGUGCUGUCAACACAGGUGGCAUUCCCUUAUUCCUUCUCUACUGAGGAAAGAAGAAGCCGAUGGAUAUAUUAUGCUUCAGGCUGUAAAUACAUAAUGUGAGCAGAAAAACACAAUCCGCUGUAUUACAACAUCUCUGCGAAGACUGUCCAGCUGAGAAAUUUAUGGAGUUGUUGCUUGUAUUGUUUUUAUAACAGUGUAAGGGCAAUAAAUGCAGAUUGAUUAGGCCAAGCUAUUAUAGAAUUUAAGUGGCAAUAUGUACAACAAAACCCCUAUAAUGUACUAAUUAAACUUGUUGGUUGCUUGGUUGUUGGCUGUUUUGGUGAAUAAGAGUAGCGUAUGUAUAUUUUUUGCUUUUCAACAAAAGUGCAACAUUUUUAGGCGGUUCUGAAUUGUGCAAAGAAUGCAAAGCCCAGUCAUUACUGUUUACACCAAAGUGUGGAAUCGGACACUUCAUGUUGAACACCGGGAAUAAGGAACAGCUGUUUGAUGGAGGAAAACUAAUGAUGUCAUGCCCAAAAACAUCAGCGGGGACACCAACACCACGGGGGCUGUCACUCAACAACAGAAUGUCAGCGGCAGAAGGGUCUCUGUUUGGGGAAGGCUUUUGUCAAUCAUCUCUAAGGUAGCGGGGAAGCAGGUGGGUCGGCCAAUCGCAGAAGGUCCCAGCACAGCAGGCCCGCGACCAGGAAGUGGAAGCGCCAUCUGGAGUGAGGAUGAGCUGUGAGUGGGCAUUUGAAACAAAGUAACGACAUGCUGGAAGAAAGCUGGUGGUGUGUGUGUCUCUGGAUAUAACAAGGGCAUUUGGAUUCAUGCUGCCUAUCACACCCACUCUGUUGCUGAUUCUACUAGUCAGAUGGUGCUUAUUAAAGAUGUGCACCAGCAGCCAUUCCUCUCAUAUAGGGGUUGAAGACCAGUGUGUGAUACCUAACUGGUAUGAUGGGUAGAAUACUGUUACUGGCAUUAAUGUGGCAUGCAAGACACUGUAACCCCCUACCCACACUGAUUAGGGAAACAGACCUUCCAUCACACACACAUAUAUUUAUCAUUGUAUUAAUGUUAUGAGCUGGCAAAUUGUCAACUGCGAAUGUUAAAGUGACACCCUGCUGGUGAAAAUAGACUGAAUAAAACUGGCAAAUUGAAAAUUAUGACAUGAGUUUGAUUUGGGGGAGAAGGGUGAAAAAAAAAUCCAUUAAAACAAGUUCUGCAUGGA